GUUGUGCCAGGGAGGGUUUGUUGGGCAAACGUUGAGACCAACCGUCAAAGGAGCACUUCCGCAUCGCCUGAAGAUUAAGUACCUGAGAAAGUCCCUAAAGCCAUCGACGGUUAGGAGGGAACCCAACUUCACUUUCACUGCUCAAAUAUUCUCCGUUGCACCAGAGUGAUGGAGACGACGAGCGCGAGGCGUUACACAACUCCGAGGAAGACGCUGAUGGAGGCUGAACACUCUUCCGAAGGGUUCGCGGCAGAAGGCCGCCCGCCUGCUCUUGAGUCACAGACGUGCUUUCCGAAUUCCUAAAAAAGGGACAUUCAGAUGUUUUCAUAUGAGAUCCCGGGGGGGGGGGGGUAAAUGCAUGAGAGGAUUUCAAUCUUGAGCAUGAUGCAUGGAAAAUGUGUUC
ensembl:lncRNA